UACGUAGGUGGCAAGCGUUGUCCGGAUUUACUGGGCGUAAAGAGCGCGCAGGCGGUCGUUCAAGUCGCGUGUGAAAGCCCCCGGCUCAACUGGGGAGGGUCACGCGAUACUGAUCGACUCGAAGGCAGGAGAGGGAAGUGGAAUUCCCGGUGUAGUGGUGAAAUGCGUAGAUAUCGGGAGGAACACCAGUGGCGAAGGCGACUUCCUGGCCUGUUCUUGACGCUGAGGCGCGAAAAGCUAGGGGAGCAAACGGG
rnacentral:rRNA from 1 species